GGAGAUGUACUCAAGUUGGUGAAGAGGCGCCCCUGCUAAGGGUGUAGGUCGGGAAACCGGCGCGAGAGUUCAAAUCUCUCCAUCUCCGCCA
rnacentral:tRNA from 1 species